GCCCUAACCCACCAUCUGAUAUUAAACCUGAGGGCCAAAAUAUUCUUCCCAAGAUCUGGAAGAAAAAGGAUUGCGGGAACAUCAAGGGUUCCCAGCAGUCCAAAGACCUUCCACCGUUAAACGUCAGAGGUGGACGAGCGCUUAUCAAACAUUCCUUCCUGUAGAAGAGCGUGUAUUCUUGAGCAGGUGUAAAAAACAUCGUGAAGAAAUUGUGUGCUACACUCCCUGCAAGGAAUCGUUGAUAGCUGGAGUAAUCUUGGAAAACCCUGAAAGACCCUCUGAGAUGUCUCAUGUAUUGUAUGACACACAUACAUACACACUAUAUUAAGGAUGCACCCGUACAAAUUUUCGAUUACCGCUGUUUAA